CCUACGUGUGGCAGCAGUGGGGAAUAUUGCGCAAUGGGCGAAAGCCUGACGCAGCGACGCCGCGUGAGGGAUGAAGGUCUUCGGAUCGUAAACCUCUGUCAGCAGGGAAGAACGGUCACUGUGCUAAUCAGCAGUGAAUUGACGGUACCUGCAAAGGAAGCACCGGCUAACUCCGUGCCAGCAGCCGCGGUAAUACGGAGGGUGCGAGCGUUAAUCGGAAGUACUGGGCGUAAAGCGCUCGUAGGCGGUAUGUCAAGUCAAUGGUGAAAUCCGCGCGCUCAACGUGGGAACUGCCUUUGAAACUGGACAACGGGAGUGUGUGAGAGGAUAGUGGAAUUACAGGUGAAGGAGGGAAAUCCGUAGAUAUCAGGAGGAACAGCAGUGGCGAAGGCGACUAUCUGGCACAUAACUGACGCUGAGGAGCGAAAGCGUGGGUAGCAAACAGGAUUAGAUACCCUAGUAGUC
rnacentral:rRNA from 1 species